GGUUUAUGAGGUGUUUGUGUCUGUGCCUUUCCACCUGUCUAUGAAACCAGAACUGCCUUAAAGAAAAUCAAGAGCUUGACAUGUUGAUGGUGGUGUAUAGAAAAGAGGCAGAAAGCCAUCCCUUCCUCAACAUUUACCCAGGCUCUCCCAAGGAGCUCAGGGACCCAAGAGCAGCACCUGUGACCGAGGAGGGGACAGAAGAAAGUUUGGGGCUUCAUCUGCUCAGGUGACAGUAGAAAUUCCAGGACAGCUAGUUGGUCUCUCCUGAACCCCUCCCUGGAAACUUACACGUAGCCUCCAUAGAUCAAAUAGCAAGCAAAGGCCUUCUCAAAGGCUUAGUGACAGACUGUCUCAGGUAAAUAUAAUGUGGGGGACAAUAGACCUGACAUUAGCCUCUGGCUUCCAUAUGCUCAUGUGUUUGUGAGGAUACUGUGCAAACAGAGAGAUAGGACACACAGACACACAGACACAGAGACACAGACACAUAUACACAGAGACACAGACACACACACACACAGACACAUACACAGACACAUACACACAGACACAUACACACAGACACAGACACACACACACAGACACAUACACACAGACACAGACACAGACACACACACACAGACACACACACACAGACACAGACACACACACACAGACACAGACACACACACACAGACACAGACACACAUAUACAGAGACACAGACACAGACACACACACACACAGUCACAGACACAGACACACACACACACAGUCACAGACACAGACACACACAGACACACAGACACAGACACACAGAGACACACUCAAAUUGACUCUGUAAAUAAAGUGUCCAAGAAGGACUUCUGUGAAGGAAAUGAUAAAGGUAAAAUGACAAGCUGUUUCAGCCAUCAUUAAUGGUCAUUCCAUUAUUUCUUCCUUUAUCAGUUGUGGAUCAUUAAUAUACAUACACAAUCAUUCUGUGCAGAGAGCCAGGACACACACACACACAUACACACACACACACACACACACACACACACACACACACACACACACUCAAAUUGACUCUGUAGAUAAGGUGUCCAGGAAGUGCUUCUGUGAAGGAAAUGAUAAGGUAAAAUGACAAGCUGUUUCAGAAUGUUGAUUGUUUUAAGAUGGGGUCUGUGUAACCCUGACUGGCCUUGAUGUUACAAUGUAGUGGAGUGGGGAGCAGUAACUAAGUUCCUGGUCUCUUUGCCUUCACCUCUUAGGUGCUGGCAUGGUGGGUGGGUGUCUCAGCUGAAGCUCCCUUCUCACCAACUCUAUCAAUAAGCCCACCCAACUUAGUUCACUGCACUCAUGACAUAAAUUCUUCCUUUGAGUUCUUUUGUUUUGCUUUCUUCAAAUGUCUCUGUUAUCCGGUUGCAUCUUAUAUCUAAGACACUGACUGCAUCUGAGGGCCUCCUAUAGCCCAGGAUGGCCUCAGCACAUAAAUAGAUGCGCCAAGUGGUCCUCCAAGAACACCACUACCAAGAGAGGCUCCUCCUUUAGAUUCCUCUUUACCCCAACUUAUAAAAGGUUGCCCCUCUGAGUAAGACCAGAGCAAGAGGGCUCACAAGGCUGAACAAAAGUUCUGAUGUCAGACAGACGAGGUUUGAGCCAAAUUUGAUGUGAACUUCUUACAAUCUAGUUGCCUGCAACCUUGAAGCACCCAAACUCCACUCUCCUGCGCCUGACCACCAGCCAUGUGGUUGAGGUGUGCGUGAUACAGCAUAGUGAAUUUUAAAACACCUUCACCACAUUUUUGUCACCUCCUUUUUAUAGCCACCUUACUCUUUCUCAUACCCUGGCAUAUGAAGGCUUUGUUUGCUCUGUCCCUCAGAGGUUUCUGAUUUAGGCUUUGAGCACCUUUUUGCUACAGUAGCCUUCCUUCUCAUCCUUCCUACUUUUCUUUUCUCUACUUCUGAGAUAGAGUCUUAUGUAGUCCAGGCUGGUCUCAAACAUGUUAUGUAGUCAGGGCUGUCCCAAACUCCUGAUCUACCUACCUUCACCUCAAGAGUGGUGGGUUUAUAGGCACAUAGGUCACCGCACUUGAGAAUACUGGCAGAGUUUUCAGGUUGGUGUUUCUCUGCCAGGAGGACUGUGUCUUUCAUUCACUAUCGAACAUCAGGACCAUACAGUGAUAUGUUCUGUCCAGCAUGUCAUGGUGUUAUAGAAUAGUGUUAGAACAAGCCAAGACACAGAUGUCUGCUGAAUUAAGAUUGUUAGAUAGGUCUAGAGCAAAGGGAGACUUAGAGCCAGAAGCAAUGAUAUCUAUAGUCUCAGCCACUGAGGAGGCCUGAGAACAAGACUUUCCAGCCAACCCGGGUAACACAGAAAGACCCUGUCUCCAAAAAAGGACAAG
ensembl:lncRNA